AAUAAGUAUGGUUAGAAUUGAUUGUCAACUUGAUGGGGUCUGGAAUCAGCUAGGAGACAAACCUCUGGGCAUAUAUGUGAGAGAGUUUCUAGACUGGGUUGACUGAGGUAAGAAGAUCCAUCUGAAAUGUGGGUGUCUCCAUUUCAUUAGCCGAAUAAAACAGAGAGAAUGAGCGAAGCACUAGCGUUCAUCCCUUUUCACUUCCUGACUGGGGAGGCAAAGUGAGCAGCUGCCUCGUGCUCCUGACCCCACUUCUUCUGUGCCAUGAUGGACUCUAUUCUAAAAAUGUGAACCAAAAUAAAUGACUGCUCCCUUUCUUUAGUUGGCUUUCAUCCCUCCUUUCUUCUUCUUUGACACAGUCUCGCUAUGUAGCCCUGGCUGGCCUGUAAGGAUGUAGACCAGAUUGGGCUGGAAUUUACAGAGAGCCACCUGCUGCUGUCUCCUUGGUGCUGAGGUUAAAGAUAUGUAUAGUUCUCACCCCUCAUGAAAGGAAUUUCUCGUGGCAGCUGAUGGAGGCCAUUACA